UAAUGGUUUUGUUGCUGGAUACUCUUUAAUUCAAGGACUCCAUUGUGUUGUGAGUUUGGUUAGGGGAAGUGUUCUCUUCAACAAGCCCUUAGCUUGGGCCAUUUUCUCUGCUGAUCAGCUGUUCUUAUUGGAACUGAUUCACAAGUGAAGGUGUUUUUCUCCUUUGAGAAGGAAGCUAAAUUCACUGAUGUUAUGGCUUUGGUAUUCUUGGUAGUUGCUAAUGGUUUGGCUGCUGGAUACUCUUUGAUUUAAGGACUCCGUUGUGUUGUGAGUUUGGUUAGGGGAAGUGUUCUCUUCAACAAGCCCUUAGCUUGGGCCAUUUUCUCUGCUGAUCAGGUGUUAGUCCUGGAACAGCUCCAGUGUACUAUAGCACAAACCUGAAAUUGUUGGAUAAGAGGAUCAAGAUAGCUGAGUUGUUGUUAAGGUUUAUGAUUCUUGGUCUUGGAGUUGUUGAGCUGUUCUU